CUUAAAUUGAAGAGUUUGAUCAUGGCUCAGAUUGAACGCUGGCGGCAGGCCUAACACAUGCAAGUCGAGCGGAAACGAGUUAUCUGAACCUUCGGGGAACGAUAACGGCGUCGAGCGG
rnacentral:rRNA from 1 species